rnacentral:rRNA from 1 species
UGCAGUCGAACGAUGAUGCCCAGCUUGCUGGGUUGAUUAGUGGCGAACGGGUGAGUAACACGUGAGUAACCUGCCCCUGACUCUGGGAUAAGCGUUGGAAACGACGUCUAAUACUGGAUAUGAUCGCCGGCCGCAUGGUCUGGUGGUGGAAAGAUUUUUUGGUUGGGGAUGGACUCGCGGCCUAUCAGCUUGUUGGUGAGGUAAUGGCUCACCAAGGCGACGACGGGUAGCCGGCCUGAGAGGGUGACCGGCCACACUGGGACUGAGACACGGCCCAGACUCCUACGGGAGGCAGCAGUGGGGAAUAUUGCACAAUGGGCGAAAGCCUGAUGCAGCAACGCCGCGUGAGGGAUGACGGCCUUCGGGUUGUAAACCUCUUUUAGUAGGGAAGAAGCGAAAGUGACGGUACCUGCAGAAAAAGCACCGGCUAACUACGUGCCAGCAGCCGCGGUAAUACGUAGGGUGCAAGCGUUGUCCGGAAUUAUUGGGCGUAAAGAGCUCGUAGGCGGUUUGUCGCGUCUGCUGUGAAAUCCCGAGGCUCAACCUCGGGCUUGCAGUGGGUACGGGCAGACUAGAGUGCGGUAGGGGAGAUUGGAAUUCCUGGUGUAGCGGUGGAAUGCGCAGAUAUCAGGAGGAACACCGAUGGCGAAGGCAGAUCUCUGGGCCGUAACUGACGCUGAGGAGCGAAAGCAUGGGGAGCGAACAGGAUUAGAUACCCUGGUAGUCCAUGCCGUAAACGUUGGGCGCUAGAUGUAGGGACCUUUCCACGGUUUCUGUGUCGUAGCUAACGCAUUAAGCGCCCCGCCUGGGGAGUACGGCCGCAAGGCUAAAACUCAAAGGAAUUGACGGGGGCCCGCACAAGCGGCGGAGCAUGCGGAUUAAUUCGAUGCAACGCGAAGAACCUUACCAAGGCUUGACAUACACCGGAAACGGCCAGAGAUGGUCGCCCCCCUUGUGGUCGGUGUACAGGUGGUGCAUGGUUGUCGUCAGCUCGUGUCGUG